rnacentral:lncRNA from 1 species
UGAGUGCCAUGUGGGCAUGUAUGAUAGAGCUAGGAGAAAUAGCAGGUGGUUCUGGCAUCUUCCUUACCAUCGUGUCUCCCACUUUGACUGCAGUCGUGACCACUGAUGUGCCAGUCUGCUUCAGUCUCUACCAAGCCCAGAACUUCACCCUCUAUCGGGUCCUGAGGAAAAGCAGCUUCCACGGUUUAUUUCAAGCUGGAUGAGGAUCCAAUUGAUGCCAUAUCCCUGUUGUAGCCUUUUGUGGUGAGACAAGGCGCUCAUCAGGACAGCAGAUUCUUCAAAGCCUUCCACACCAAUGUGAAGGACAGUAAGAUGUGGAAGUUCCUGGGUUUUGUUUUUGGACAAUGGGAACCAAGGGUGGCAUCCCUACACUCCAUAGUGUAGGGCCUGACACGAUGUAAACUCCCUCCUCCAGUAAUCAUUCAUCAAGAGUUUCAGUGUUGUGAUAACCUGUGAGUUCUCCACAUAGUGGCACAUCAUGGACCUCAUUUCCUUCCUGGAUUACAACUGCACCUUGGACAGUGAGGGCUCUUUUGGAAGUGCACACCUAGCUGACCUGCCCUCCAACUCAAAAGUGGACAAGACCUGUUCAGAGGUGUUAAGCACCCCCACACUCAAUGUCCAUUCAGGCCAAAAGUAUGCUCUUUGCCCCAAGGGAACCAAAGUCAUGAUGACAUAUGCCAGAGCUUGGGUAAAGGAUACAGUGAGGAUUCUUGGAUUUCAGAACAAAGUAUUCCUGGAG